rnacentral:rRNA from 1 species
CACGUAGGGCGCAAGCGUUGUCCGGAAUUAUUGGGCGUAAAGAGCUCGUAGGCGGACUGUCACGUCUGCUGUGAAAAGCUGGGGCUUAACCCUGGCCUUGCAGUCGGAUACGGGCAGACUAGAGGUAGGUAGGGGAGAAUGGAAUUCCCGGUGUAGCGGUGAAAUGCGCAGAUAUCAGGAGGAACACCGGUGGCGAAGGCGGGUCUACUGGGCCGUAACUGACGCUGAGGAGCGAAAGCGUGGGGAGCGAACAGG